UGAGGAAUAUUGGUCAAUGGGCGCGAGCCUGAACCAGCCAAGUCGCGUGAGGGAAGACGGUCCUAUGGAUUGUAAACCUCUUUUGUCGGGGAGCAAAAGACGUCACGUGUGGCGUUCCGAGAGUACCCGAAGAAAAAGCAUCGGCUAACUCCGUGCCAGCAGCCGCGGUAAUACGGAGGAUGCGAGCGUUAUCCGGAUUUAUUGGGUUUAAAGGGUGCGCAGGCGGAAGAUCAAGUCAGCGGUAAAAUUGAGAGGCUCAACCUCUUCGAGCCGUUGAAACUGGUUUUCUUGAGUGAGCGAGAA
rnacentral:rRNA from 1 species